UUGGUUAAGUCAGGCAACGAGCGAGAUCCGCGCCUUUAUUUGCCAGCAAGAAGUCACGACUUCGUUGGGAACACUAAAGGGACCGCCGUCGAUAAGACGGAGGAAGGAGCGGGCAAAGGCAGGUCAGUAUGCCCCGAAACCCCUGGGCUACACGCGGGCUGCAAUGGUAUGAACAAUGGGCUGUAACUCCGAAAGGAGAAACCAAUCCCGAAAUCAUAUCUCAGUGGGGAUUGUCGGCUGUAACCCGCCGACAUGAACGUGGAAUCCCUAGUAAUCGUGUGUCAUCAUCGCACGGUGAAUACGUCCCUGCUCCUUGCACA
rnacentral:rRNA from 1 species